rnacentral:tRNA from 7 species
GUCUCGAUGGUGUAGUUGGUUAUCACGUCCGCUUCACACGCGGGAGGCCUCCAGUUCGAGCCUGGAUCGAGACA